GACGAACGCUGGCGGCGUGCUUAACACAUGCAAGUCGAACGGAAAGGCCUCUUUCGGGGGGUACUCGAGUGGCGAACGGGUGAGUAACACGUGAGUAACCUGCCCUUGACUUUGGGAUAACUUCAGGAAACUGGGGCUAAUACCGGAUAGGAGCUCCUGCUGCAUGGUGGGGGUUGGAAAGUUUCGGCGGUUGGGGAUGGACUCGCGGCUUAUCAGCUUGUUGGUGGGGUAGUGGCUUACCAAGGCUUUGACGGGUAGCCGGCCUGAGAGGGUGACCGGCCACAUUGGGACUGGGAUACGGCCCAGACUCCUACGGGAGGCAGCAGUGGGGAAUAUUGCACAAUGGGUGGAAGCCUGAUGCAGCAACGCCGGGUGCGGGAUGACGGCCUUCGGGUUGUAAACCGCUUUCGCUCGGGACGAAGCUUUGUGUGACGGUAGUGGGUAAAGAAGCACCGGCUAACUACGUG
rnacentral:rRNA from 1 species